GAUGAACGCUGGCGGCGUGCCUAAUACAUGCAAGUCGAGCGAACAGACGAGGAUCUUUCCUCUCUUACGUUAGCGGCGGGCGGGUGAGUCAUACGUGGAUAACCUACCUAUAAGACUGGCGUAACUUCGGGAAACCGGAUCUAAUACCGGAUAAUAUAUUGAACGGCAUGGUUCAUCAGUCAUAGACGGUUUUGCUGAGCCUUAUUGAUGUUACCUGGUCGGAUUAGUUAGUUGGUAAGGUAAAGGCCUUCCAAGGCGACGCUGCGUAGCUGGACUGAGAGGAUGAUCCGUCACACUGGAACUGAGACACGGUCCAGACUCCUACGGGAGGCAGCAGGGGGGAAUAUUGGACAAUGGGCGAAAGCCUGAUCCAGCCAUGCCGCGUGUGUGAAGAAGGUCUUCGGAUUGUAAAGCCCUUUUAGUUGGGAGGAAGGGAAGGAAGUUAAUACCUUGCUGUUUUGACGGUACCAACAGAAUAAGCACCGGCUAACUUCGUG
rnacentral:rRNA from 1 species